rnacentral:lncRNA from 1 species
UUCGGGGUAUUACACUUACUUUGCCUGUAUACUUCAAAUCCCUCCACUUUCCCUUUUUUCCUUUACUCAAAAUUAACCUAAAAAUUUUUAUUUUUCACUUUGGGAUUCCUUCCCCCACGCCCUCACUUUCUCUUUGGCUUAUUGUUUAGUCCCACAAUCACGGUAAAUAUAACUAUGCCUGUGGUGUAACUUGAAUUAUGACCACAAUGAUCAUCUUGUAGCGCUAUGUAUAGUUACUUUGCAGGCCUAAAAUUG